UACAUGCAGUCGACGAGACCAGGGACUUCGGUUUCUGGUUUAGUGGCGCACGGGUGCGUAACGCGUAUGCAACCUACCUUCCACAGGGGGAUAGCCCACCGAAAGGUGGAUUAAUACCGCAUGACACUAUUUGAGGGCAUCCGAAGAUAGUCAAAGCUGAGGCGGUGGAAGAUGGGCAUGCGUGCCAUUAGCUAGUUGGUAGUGUAACGGACUACCAAGGCUUCGAUGGCUAGGGGUUCUGAGAGGAUGGUCCCCCACACUGGUACUGAGACACGGACCAGACUCCUACGGGAGGCAGCAGUAGGGAAUAUUGGGCAAUGGCCGAGAGGCUGACCCAGCCAUGCCGCGUGCAGGAAGAAGGCCUUCUGGGUUGUAAACUGCUUUUAUCAGGGAAGAAAACGCGCCUGCGGGCGUAACUGACGGUACCUGAUGAAUAAGCACCGGCUAACUCCGUGCCAGCAGCCGCGGUAAUACGGAGGGUGCAAGCGUUGUCCGGAUUUAUUGGGUUUAAAGGGUGCGUAGGCGGCUGUGUAAGUCAGUGGUGAAAUCCCAGGGCUCAACCCUGGAACUGCCAUUGAUACUGCAUGGCUUGAGUUCGGUUGAGGCAGGCGGAACUGGUGGUGUAGCGGUGAAAUGCAUAGAUACCAUCAAGAACCCCGAUUGCGUAGGCAGCUUGCUGGACCGAAACUGACGCUGAGGCACGAAAGCGUGGGGAGCGAACAGGAUUAGAUACUCU
rnacentral:rRNA from 1 species